GCACUCAUGGCUCAGCUGGAUAGAGCAUCGGUUUGCGGUACCGAAGGUCUCAGGUUCGAAUCCUGAUGGGUGUACCA
rnacentral:tRNA from 1 species